UCAAGCUACUAAGGGCAUAUGGUGGAUGCCUUGGUACAGAGAGGCGAAGAAGGACGUGGUAAGCUGCGAUAAGCCUCGGUGAGGUGCAAACAACCUUUGAUCCGGGGAUUUCCGAAUGGGGCAACCCGGCGUGGGUAAUGCCGCGUCACUCCCGACUGAACACAUAGGUCGGGUAGAGCGAACGGGGUGAAUUGAACCAUCUCAGUAACCCUAGGAAGAGAAAUCAACCGAGAAUUCCUGAGUAGCGGCGAGCGAAACGGAACGAGCCUAAACCGGUCUGUAUGUUAAAGCCAGUACGCGUUGUACAGCCGGGGUAGCGGGGUGAUAUCGGACCAAGGUGCUGCGCGGUCGGGAAGUUACAAAUCCACCACCUAAUCGAAUUGUUCUGGAAAGACAAACCAGAGACGGUGAUAGUCCGGUAGGUGAAAGGUGAGUGGACUUCCUUGAUAUCAUUCCCAAGUACCACGGGACACGAGUAAUCUUGUGGGAAUCUAUGGGGUCCACCCCAUAAGGCUAAACACUACUCUGUGACCGAUAGUGAACCAGUACCGUGAGGGAAAGGUGAAAAGUACUCCUAACGGAGAGUGAAAUAGUACCUGAAACCAUAUGCUUACAAGCGGUCGGAGGCUGAAAGAGCACACUUUCGGGUGCGCUUUAAUAGGCUGACGGCGUGCCUUUUGCAUAAUGAGUCGGUGAGUUACUUGUAUGCAGCGAGGUUAAGUGGUUAUGCCAUGGAGCCGUAGCGAAAGCGAGUCCUAACAGGGCGAUUCAGUUGCAUGCAGUAGACCCGAAACCGGGUGAUCUACCCAUAGCCAGGAUGAAGCGAGGGUAAAACCUCGUGAAGGUCCGAACCAGUAGUGGUUGAAAACACUUUGGAUGAGCCGUGGGUAGGGGUGAAAGGCCAAUCAAACCCGGCGAUAGCUGGUUCUCCCCGAAACAUAUUUAGGUAUGACCUUGCAUAAAAGAGUCGUGGAGGUAGAGCACUGGAUGGGCUAGGGACCCUACAAGGUUACCAAACCCAACUAAACUCCGAAUGCCAUUGACUCGUUCUGCAGGAGUCAGGCUAUGGGGGAUAAGCUCCAUAGCCGAGAGGGAAACAACCCAGACCGACAGCUAAGGCCCCUAAGUGCAGACUAAGUGAUAAAGGAUGUGAGAUUGCUCAGACAACCAGGAUGUUGGCUUAGAAGCAGCCAUUCAUUUAAAGAGUGCGUAACUGCUCACUGGUCAAGUGGUCUUGCGCCGAUAAUUUACGGGACUAAGUUUGCCGCCGAAGCUCCGGAUUUUAUCAUCCUUCGGGGUGGUGGAAUGGUAGGGGAGCGUUCCAUGGUAGGUCGAAGGUUCACUGUAAAGUGAGCUGGACGAAAUGGAAGUGAUCAUGCCGAUAUGAGUAGCGAGAAGCAGGCGAGAAACCUGCUCACCGAAAAUCUAAGGUUUCCUGGGGAAGGUUAAUCCGCCCAGGGUUAGUCGGAUCCUAAGCUGAGGCCGAAAGGCGUAAGUGAUGGCAAACAGGUUAAUAUUCCUGUACUACCUGAAAGAUGAUUGAGCGAUGGGGUGACGCAGAAGUGAGGUCCGAUCCAGCGAUUGGAAAUGCUGGUCUAAGCUGGUAGGGGGUUCCCGCAGGUAAAUCCGUGGGAACAUAACCCUGAGGAGCGAAUGGGAGGGGCCUAGCCCUGAAACUCGGGCUGAAUCAUGCUGCCAAGAAAAACCUCUAAGCGAGUUUUUCGGGUAACCGUACCGCAAACCAACACAGGUAGAUGAGGAGAGAAUCCAAAGGUGAUCGAGCGAACCCUCGUUAAGGAACUAGGCAAAAUGGCUCCGUAACUUAGGGAGAAGGAGCGCCCCCGGUAUGUGAACCAUCUUGCAUGGAGAGCAGAAAGGGGUCGCAGAGAAACGGCCUGGGCGACUGUUUACUAAAAACACAGGUCUCUGCAAAGUCGUGAAGACGAAGUAUAGGGACUGACACCUGCCCGGUGCCGGAAGGUUAAAAGGAGGGGUUAGCAAAGUUUACUUUGCGAAGCUCUGAAUUGAAGCCCCGGUAAACGGCGGCCGUAACUAUAACGGUCCUAAGGUAGCGAAAUUCCUCGUCGGGUAAAUUCCGACCCGCACGAAUGGUGUAACGACUUAGGCACUGUCUCAACGAGGGGCUCGGUGAAAUUGUAGUUCCGGUGAAGAUGCCGGAUACCCGCGACAGGACGGAAAGACCCCGGAACCUUUACUAUAGCUUGGCAUUGGGUUUUGGUGUUGCAUGUGUAGAGCUAGGUGGGAGGCGUUGAAACAGCUGCGCCAGCAGUUGUGGAGCCACAAGAUGAAAAACCACCCUUGUGUCAUUGGAAUUCUAACCGCGUACCUUGAAUCAGGUACCGGGACAGUGUCUGGUGGGUAGUUUGACUGGGGCGGUUGCCUCCCAAAAGGUAACGGAGGCGCCCAAAGGUUCCCUCAGUGCGGUCGGUAAUCGCGCGAAGAGUGUAAAGGCAUAAGGGAGCUUGACUGCGAGACCUACAAGUCGAGCAGGUGCGAAAGCAGGGCUUAAUGAUCUGACAGUAGCGCGUGGAAGCGCUGAAACUCAUCGGAUAAAAGGUACUCCGGGGAUAACAGGCUUAUCUCCCCCAAGCGCCCAUAGCGACGGGGAGGUUUGGCACCUCGAUGUCGGCCCAUCGCAUCCUGGGGCUGGAGAAGGUCCCAAGGGUUUGGCUGUUCGCCAAUUAAAGCGGUACGCGAGCUGGGUUUAGAACGUCGUGAGACAGUUCGGUCCCUAUCCGUCGUGGGCGUAGGAUAUUUGAGGAGAGCUGACCCUAGUAUGAGAAGACCGGGUUGGACCAGCCGCUAGUGUACCAGUUGUCCCGCCAGGGGCACUGCUGGGUAGCUAUGCUGGGAAGGGAUAACCGCUGAAAGCAUCUAAGUGGGAAGCCCACUCCAAGAUGAGAUAUCCCGCGGGACUUCGGUCCCCCUGAAGGCCCCUUGUAGACUACAAGGUUGAUAGGCCGGAGGUGUAAGCACAGUAAUGUGUUCAGCCGACCGGUACUAAUAGGCCGUGAGGCUUGACCAU
rnacentral:rRNA from 1 species